rnacentral:rRNA from 1 species
AACGAACGCUGGCGGCAUGCCUAACACAUGCAAGUCGAACGAGACCUUCGGGUCUAGUGGCGCACGGGUGCGUAACGCGUGGGAACCUGCCCUUAGGUUCGGAAUAACUCCCCGAAAGGGGUGCUAAUACCGGAUAAUGUCUUCGGACCAAAGAUUUAUCGCCUUUGGAUGGGCCCGCGUUGGAUUAGCUAGUUGGUAGGGUAAAAGCCUACCAAGGCGACGAUCCAUAGCUGGUCUGAGAGGAUGAUCAGCCACACUGGGACUGAGACACGGCCCAGACUCCUACGGGAGGCAGCAGUGGGGAAUAUUGGACAAUGGGCGAAAGCCUGAUCCAGCAACGCCGCGUGAGUGAUGAAGGCCUUAGGGUUGUAAAGCUCUUUUACCCGGGAUGAUAAUGACAGUACCGGGACAAUAAGCUCCGGCUAACUCCGUG